rnacentral:rRNA from 1 species
UACGGAGGGUGCAAGCGUUGUUCGGAUUUACUGGGCGUAAAGGGCGCGCAGGCGGUCUUGAAAGUCGGGCGUGAAAGCCCUGGGCUUAACCUGGGAAGUGCGCUUGAUACUCUGAGACUGGAGUACGGGAGAGGAGAGUGGAAUUCCCAGUGUAGAGGUGAAAUUCGUAGAUAUUGGGAAGAACACCAGUGGCGAAGGCGGCGCUCUGGACCGUAACUGACGCUGAGGCGCGAAAGCGUGGGGAGCAAACAGG